AAGCAAUUCUUUUCUUUAGAUUUAUAAGAACUCAACCUUUCCAACGAUUCUUUUAGCACCUCCAACCACACCCUUAAACUGAAACUUGAACAACUUUUUAUUUUCUUUGUGUACAAUCUUUCUUUUUCUUUUUUUCUUUUCUUUCUCUUUCUCUUUUUUUUUUUUUUUUUUUUUUUUUAAUACAAACAUGAAAUACCCCCACACUUAUUCUUUUGCCAAACACCUUCAAAGUACUUCACAAACGUUUCUCAUAAGACAAUCUCUCAUUGCUUGCUUGGAAAGGGUAAGUUAAAAAUGUUUCAGGUAUAAGGGUAGACAUAUCUGGUGAUAAGAAAUAAAAGGCUCAACAAAUACGGCUCAAAUUGGCAAUCUAAUGAUAUCAUUUUUCUUUGGGACACAUGGUUAUUUGGGCCAUAGUGGUAAACCUAAUGCCUCUAUCAUUUCCAAGUUCAUGCAAUCAAUGACAAACAUUUCGAAAGAUCGUUACGCAAGUUCUAGAGAUAUAUCUCACAUAAGUUCAUCACACAUAAAAAAAAAAUAAUAGGAGUGUAUGAAAAAUGCACACACUUUUAAUAGGCUCAAAAACUCACAUAGGAUGUAUAUGGUCACUAAAUUCACAUAUGAAGCUUUAAGUCAUGCUUUAGUUUCACAUCAAUAAGGCUAUGUGCAUUUGGUUUUUUCAAAGAUGAUCAAACAUGUACAAAACUAACAAGAGAAUUAGGAAUUUCACAAAACACAUGUUAACUAAGUUCUUGAUGAUCAUGGUUCAAAUUUGAUCCAAUUAUAUCAUUGGGUCGGGAAACUAACAAAAAUCUAAUUCAAAACAAUAAGGGAAACAAGACAAUAUUUUUGGAUUUUUAAAUUUUCCGAUUUUUUUUUUAAAAGAAAACAAAACUAAUUAAGAAAACAAAAAGCAACAACAUGGAAACAAAUGAAACUCGUUCGUAGUUGAAGGUACAAAAAAAUUUCAAUUUGGUCAUUUUUUAUACUCUUUACCCCCAAACUUAAACUGGACAUUGUCCCCAAUGUCAGAAAACACUAUAAUGCAAAUAAAAAUAAAAUAAAUAAAUAAUAAGAAACAAAAUAAAGCAAUUGGACUGAAAACUUCCCUAGUUUGCAGUAAAACCAAGCGAUGACCCCCCCAAGUUAAAAUUCUGCAAUCAACUUCAAGGGUGGAAAUAACCAAAAAUUUCUGCAAAGAAAAGAAAUAAUUCAGUUAAGUAACGCAAGAAAAUGUAAAAAAAAAAUUGCAAACGAAAAAUUGAAAAUCACGAUAAAAGACAAUGAAUAGAACUAAUAAGUGAUCAUUGGUCGUGCUUGUUGACUUUCCACAGCUUUCCUCUUGAACUGGGUGACACUUAGCUUUUUACUUGCAAGUGAUGAUUUGAUGAUAUUGUACGGCGAGGCUUUGCUCUUUGGGAAUGUUGCAGUUCCUUAUUUGUUCUCCAAGCAGAUGUGGCAGCUUCUCUAGUUCUUCAUCUCAGACUCCUUCUGCUGGGAUGAUUGUGCAAGCUGUAUUCUUCUCUGCUUGUUUCUUCUGCACAUUGUCUCCACAUGCUGCUGGUAUCAUUUUCGCUUGCCUUAUCUGUUCUUCAGGUAGAUGUGGCAACUUCUUUGGAAGUACAUCAGCAGUGGAAGACGAGUACUCGAGAGCAAUUUCUCCAUGUCUUGCAGGUUAGAACAUAGA
rnacentral:lncRNA from 1 species